AGAGUUUGAUCAUGGCUCAGGACGAACGCUGGCGGCGUGCUUAACACAUGCAAGUCGAACGGAAAGGCCCUUCGGGGUACUCGAGUGGCGAACGGGUGAGUAACACGUGGGUGAUCUGCCCUGCACUCUGGGAUAAGCCUGGGAAACUGGGUCUAAUACCGGAUAGGACCGCAUGCUUCAUGGUGUGUGGUGCAAAGCUUUUGCGGUGUGGGAUGAGCCCGCGGCCUAUCAGCUUGUUGGUGGGGUAAUGGCCUACCAAGGCGACGACGGGUAGCCGGCCUGAGAGGGUGACCGGCCACACUGGGACUGAGAUACGGCCCAGACUCCUACGGGAGGCAGCAGUGGGGAAUAUUGCACAAUGGGCGCAAGCCUGAUGCAGCGACGCCGCGUGAGGGAUGACGGCCUUCGGGUUGUAAACCUCUUUCAAUAGGGACGAAGCGCAAGUGACGGUACCUAUAGAAGAAGGACCGGCCAACUACGUGCCAGCAGCCGCGGUAAUACGUAGGGUCCGAGCGUUGUCCGGAAUUACUGGGCGUAAAGAGCUCGUAGGUGGUUUGUCGCGUUGUUCGUGAAAACUCACAGCUUAACUGUGGGCGUGCGGGCGAUACGGGCAGACUAGAGUACUGCAGGGGAGACUGGAAUUCCUGGUGUAGCGGUGGAAUGCGCAGAUAUCAGGAGGAACACCGGUGGCGAAGGCGGGUCUCUGGGCAGUAACUGACGCUGAGGAGCGAAAGCGUGGGUAGCGAACAGGAUUAGAUACCCCGGUAGUCCAA
rnacentral:rRNA from 1 species